AGGUCUAGAGAGAGAGAGAGAGAGAGGGAGAGAGAGAGAGAGAGAGAGAGAGGAAAAAUGAGCUGUGCUCUGUGGAGAGAUCUAAAGAGGCUAUUGAGCUCAGCUUCACACAAGCAGUGUUUGGCAAAUAAUUGUUGACUGUUAUUCUGAUUUGAAUGGCAUACCAUAAAUAACCGUAAGCCAUGUUCCAAGUCUCUAGCAUCUACUUGAUAUGGACGGUGAUGCUGCAGGUCUUUGCUCGAGUUUGUGAGCCGUUUUUGGAGCGGAUCGCUGGAUUUGUUAUAAGACUAUAAACAGGAAGGAUGACUCAAUCUAAACAUAUUUCAGAGAAUCAAAUGAGCCUUCUUAGGCCACGCUGACGCGACGAUUAGAGCUGGAGCUGUGCUUCCAGAGGCCAUUUAAUCGUAGCAGAUGUCUCAUUUUGUUGAGUUGUAGUUAGCAAAAAGAGCUCAAUGUGUUUUUCCAAACUCGUCACAGCAGCAACACGUCCAGCGUCAUGUUAUUAAGGUUUGAUGGUCAUCUGACAUUUUGAAGCACAUUUUAUAAAGUUAGGCUCUUCAGAACAGCAUUAUCUAGCACUUGCAUAAAGUGGAAAACAAUUAAAAGGCUCAUUGACUUGCAAUUUGUUAGAAUAAGCGCUCAGUAUAAAUACAAUAUGUGGAUGCUGAUAGGAAUUUCAAUUUUCUUCUUCCUCUACCCAGGGAUUUUGUCGGGAAACAAAAUGUGACGAGCAAAAGGAGCUAAAUGUGUUUACCCAAAUUGUGUUUUUCUACAACUCAGAAAAGCCUGUGCAUGCAAAGAACACCGAGCUCUCAGAAAUGCCAGCCAAGAGUGAGGAGGGGGGAGCUUUGGCAGCCGAGCGCAGCAGACAGAAAACGCUUACCUAAUGCUUCAGUUAGUGCUUGUUUUAUUGUUCAGCUGUUGGUUUUGAGCGGAAGUUCCACUUCACUCGUCAUUAUUUUUGUCUCCCAGAUCCUCAUUUGCCCUCUCCAUGAAGGUUUGCACAGCUCAACCUGUCAUUACGGUGCAACCUGAAAUAAAAUCUAUAUUUCUAUUGUUUCAUAUUUUUAAAUAUAUGAAUCCUGAUUUUUGACUGAAGCAGAUUCAUCGCGGUUUUACUCAGGUGCAGCUAAAUGACUGCUUUUACUGCUUUGGGACAUGCCCUUGGUGCUGCCUUUGCUCACUAUUUGAUCCUCUCUGGCUCGCUCUCACGCUCUCGCUCUCUCUCUCACUCUCUGUUUAUAGGGCAAGUCGGGGAAAGGACAGCUGUCAGGUCUGAUCAGAGGCAGUGAACAUCGAGUUACAGGUGAGGGAAGAAGGCACAGCAUGUCCAAGGAGGAGACAUCCAGAGGACAGAGAUAAACAGAUAUGCUGGAUUUUUCCUCUUGGAACAACGUUAAAUCAACAUCCUGUUUGUGCAUUUGCUUAAGUAUGCAAAGAAAAAGUAUAUUGGAUUAUUAUUAUUUUUAUUAUCACAGACUGCCACAAUGAAGCUUUUAGGCUGAACCUUUCUUUGUUACUCAGUAAUGACAGGAAAUGCUUCAAAGGUCUGUGUGUGGGCACGUUAAGUCAGUAGAAGCUUGAAAACAUCAUGAAUAAAAAAAAAAUAGGUUAACCCUUUAUGAAGACAUGCUAUGCCCUGUUUUAAUCUGAUAAUCUGAUGCUGAUUAUAGCCCGACCUUCCAGCGACCUCGGGCAAUUACAGCGCUAGAGAUUAGCCAUUAUACUGUGGGACUCGUAUCAUAGGAGUUAUGAGUGACAUCUAAUUUACAGUCAAUGGCAAAACUUCAAAGUACCAGACAUGUAAAAUGGGUAUUUACACUUUGAAAAGUCCUUUAACCAAAUCCUAAUCUGAAAUGUCUGUCAGAAAAAUAAUUCGCCCAAGCCUUAGUUUCAUAUUUCUUCAUAUAACCUCUAUUAUAAAUAUAAUCAAACUGUAUUAACGUUCAGUAUCAGUAAAAGUCCCAACUAGCGUAAAGAAAUCACAAUUCCACUCUCCUUCUGCCUCAACAUCUGCUUCCUCCACUCUUUUCCUUUCCUCUCUCUUUCAUCACGUUGGGGGAAAAUGGGUUUUGAGCACUCUCUCAUGAACAAUUGAUGACAGAGGGUGGCGGCUGUGAAUGAUGCCUCCAACCAUGUGGCUCAGCUCUUCUUCAACGUGGACGCCCCAGAAUCAGAUGAGCAGCAUGGAGGCAUGAAGCGGGGGCCGAGCGCACGGAGCGGGUGAAGCGGUGAGUCACCCUCGACACCCCCCCCCCUCCUCCUGCCGCGAGCGCUGCUCUUAUCAGCGUCCUCCACGCAGCCUGUGACCACGGCGACCGUCUCCCACCGCCGGGCUCAGGGCGCUGAUGCGCCGCCGCCCGCCUCCUGCGGGGGCUCAGGCGCCGCUCGCGCCUCCACCUGCAGAAACAGAGCGUCAGGGGACGGCGGCAAUAUCGCUCAGGCCCCUGAACGUGGGCGCUGGGUCACAAUGCUCCUCUGUGCACCCUGACGUAUGGCAUCCUGGCACUGCUGUGGCCCUGGAAAGUUCUCAGGAUGAAUGGCCGUGCUAAAAGCUUUCCAGGCCUCCAAGUCCCUGGAGCGCUUCCUCCGAGGCCCCGGCCCGAUUGUCCGGGACCCAGAAAUGGCGAAAGAUCUCUAGGGUGUGUUUAUUUAGCGAAACAGCCACGGAAUGCGAGGAAAGAUUGAGCAACACCUUUGAAUAGUUAAACACUGGCCUGUUCCAGUUGGCAAGAAAUUAUUUUACGAGACUGCCAAACAAGUGUGCUGAUGGUGAUUUAAAGGGCUUCCACAUGAGGGAAAACCAGAGAGAACCUAAGAACGAAAACCAACCUCUCCAGUAAAGUCAUUUGUGUCCUUUCAUUAAAGCCCAGCAUCCAUUAAGGUAACGCUGCACCCGUCAGUCAAGUCAGAACUCAUCUCUGUUUUUGCCCGAGUGGAAAAUUGCAGAACGAGCGAAGAAGAUGGUGUGAGACUCCAGUUGGCUGCGUCUCUGUGAUGGAGUGGGCAGAAGGAAUAAGAUGCUCAUAGAAGCGUGGAGCCUGAGCAGAGGGUGGGGUGACGUGGAAGAACCCGAGUGAAAGGAUGAAGAUUGAAUUUCGUCUUCACAGGCGAGAGCAAACAAAAGGAUGAAAGGAUGACCUGCCGCUGUUCUCCGACUGACUGACAGCCGGACAGUCCCUCGUCUUCCCGACGGGAGGAGCUCCUUUUCCAGUGUCAACUCUUAAAACAACUACUGGAACGGCCGGAGGGUGGACGUCAGCAAACACAAACGACCCGUCACUGAGGGGAGGAUGUAGAAGGAAACGCACAAAGGGAGGGAGGAGGAAAGAAUGGAUGAAUCUAAAGACAGUUAAGCUGCUUAUUAAUUUGUCUGACACUGGGAGAGUGUGCGUGAGAGCGCGUGCUGCCUGUUUGUUCCCCGUGUUUGAGGGAAUACACAACUAGUCACAGUAAAAGCAGAUUAUGAGAUUAAGUGCUGGGAAAUAAAUAAUAAAAAAAACGCAGUAGAUGAUUACUACAGCAAGUACAAUAGCACUGGGAGGAACUCGUCCUUGAUUGAGUGCGACGAGCGGACGCACGUGGGCGUGGAGUUGUUUGGAAGCGCAUUCCUGCGCGAGCGUGCCACGGAUUGUCCGAUCACGUGACAUCAAGGAGGCGGAGGGGGGGCAGAGAGGUUGCGCUCGCUUAAUAACGGCUUUACCGAGAGCAGGGAAAUGAAUCGCUGCAUCGGUUCGACUGAUAAUCCGCUCCGGGUGACAAAUAACCUGCAGAGAAUCACCACGACUUUGGGAGCGCGAUAGAUAAAAGCGGCGCCGUCCGCCUCGCGCGCUGCGCGAUCUCUGGGGAUUAAACUGCUUUAACGCGGAGCAUGUAUAGCAGCUGGGACCGCGCGGUAAAUACGAAGUCGAGGCUUUGAUGUUAAUCACUGCCGGGCCAAUUUGUGCCAUUUUGCUGCUUCCUUUGUUUCCAUCUCCCGCUGCCCCCGUUCCCAUCUCCAGCACCUCCACUUCCUCCGCGUGUUUGGAAACAGGAUCUUGCAGCUUAUAUUGAAAGUGGGACCGCUCCACAACACUCAACACAUGGCAGCAGAUGUGUGGCGGCAUGUGACGAGGGGGGGGGUCUGCUGAGGCAGGGAGACAGAGAGAGAGAAAAGGGAAUAGGGCGGACGAAGGUAAAGAGCUGACAGGAGAAGAGAGGACCGAGGAGGAGGAACGACGGGAGCGCACGGGGAGAGGAGAGGAAUGGAGACGGGUUUAGAGGCUCUCAAACACUUUGCACUCCCAGCACAGCAGAUGCCACAUUCUGUCUGGCACAGUGAUCUGUGGGCCUGCUCUAUUUAUACCCUCAGCGUGUCACUUCAGGGCCAGCGACACACACGCACACACACGCACACACACACACACACACACACACACACACACACA